rnacentral:rRNA from 1 species
GUCUACAGUCAUAUCAUCCUGAGCGUGCCUGAUCUUAUCUGAUCUUGGAAACUAGGGUUGGGCCUGUUUAGUAUUUGGAUGAUAGAAGAGAAAUCAUCUCUGUUAAUC